UAUUGCACAAUGGGGGAAACCCUGAUGCAGCGACGCCGCGUGAAGGAAGAAGUAUUUCGGUAUGUAAACUUCUAUCAGCAGGGAAGAAAAUGACGGUACCUGACUAAGAAGCCCCGGCUAACUACGUGCCAGCAGCCGCGGUAAUACGUAGGGGGCAAGCGUUAUCCGGAUUUACUGGGUGUAAAGGGAGCGUAGACGGAAGAGCAAGUCUGAUGUGAAAGGCUGGGGCUUAACCCCAGGACUGCAUUGGAAGCUGUUGUUCUAGAGUGCCGGAGAGGUAGGCGGAAUUCCUCGUGUAGCGGUGUAAUGCGUAGAUAUUAGGAGGAACACCAGUGGCGAGGGCGGCUUACUGGACGGUAACUGACGUUGGGGCUCGAAAGCGUGGGGAGCAA
rnacentral:rRNA from 1 species